GGACUACUAGGGUUUCUAAUCCUGUUUGAUCCCCACGCUUUCGUGCCUCAGUGUCAGUAGUAGUUUUGUAAGCUGCCUUCGCAAUGGGUGUUCUGUGUCAUAUCUAAGCAUUUCACCGCUACACGACACAUUCCACUUACAUCAAAUACACUCAAGAAUGACAGUAUCAAUGGCAGUUCUAUAGUUAAGCUAUAGGUUUUCACCACUGACUUGACAUUCCACCUACGCACCCUUUAAACCCAGUAAAUCCGGAUAACGCUCGGAUCCUCCGUAUUACCGCGGCGGCUGGCAC
rnacentral:rRNA from 1 species